rnacentral:rRNA from 1 species
GUAAAACGCGGUAACGCCGAUGGUAGUGUGGGGUUUCCCCAUGUGAGAGUAGGGCACUGUUAAUCUACUAAAUUUGCGGAGCGGUAGUUCAGCUGGUUAGAAUACCUGCCUGU